GAAGUGCGAUAAGCAAUGCGAAUUGCAGAAUUCCGCGAAUCAUCAGAUCUUUGAACGCAACUGGCGCUGGAGGGAUAUCCUUCCAGCAUGCUUGUUUCAGUGUCUAGAAACCUCAAUUAUUUUAAUGUGAUUGAAGAGUUAAUCUAACUAGCUUAAAUUAUACUCAUCUCUCAUGAAAUAUGUAGAUGUGGAUCUUUUGAUCCAGCGAAGUAGUCACAUUUUAUGUGUGAUUUCGUUGGUCACUCAAAUUAUCCGAUAACAUUUAUAUUAACAAAAUCAUCAAAUAAUGCAUCUGAAAUCAAGCAAGGUCACCUGCUGAACUUAA
rnacentral:misc_RNA from 1 species